GACGAACGCUGGCGGCGUGCUUAACACAUGCAAGUCGAACGGAAAGGCCCUGCUUUUGUGGGGUGCUCGAGUGGCGAACGGGUGAGUAACACGUGAGUAACCUGCCCUUGACUUUGGGAUAACUUCAGGAAACUGGGGCUAAUACCGGAUAGGAGCUCCUGCUGCAUGGUGGGGGUUGGAAAGUUUCGGCGGUUGGGGCUGGACUCGCGGCUUAUCAGCUUGUUGGUGGGGUAGUGGCGUACCAGGGCUUUGACGGGUAGCCGGCCUGGGAGGGUGACCGGCCACCUUGGGACUGAGAUACGGCCCAGAAGCCUACGGGAGGCAGCAGUCGGGAAUCUUGCACAACGGGCGGAAGCCUGAUGCAGCAACCCCGCGUGCGUGAUGACGGCCUUCGGGUUGUAAACCGCUUUCGCCUGUGCCGAAGCGUGAGUGACGGUAAUGGGUAAAGAAGCACCGGCUAACUACGUG
rnacentral:rRNA from 1 species